rnacentral:rRNA from 1 species
GAAGGGGCUUCGGUACUGACCUUAGCGGCGGACGGGUGAGUAAUGCUUAGGAAUCUGCCUAUUAGUGGGGGACAACAUCUCGAAAGGGAUGCUAAUACCGCAUACGUCCUACGGGAGAAAGCAGGGGAUCACUUGUGACCUUGCGCUAAUAGAUGAGCCUAAGUCGGAUUAGCUAGUUGGUGGGGUAAAGGCCUACCAAGGCGACGAUCUGUAGCGGGUCUGAGAGGAUGAUCCGCCACACUGGGACUGAGACACGGCCCAGACUCCUACGGGAGGCAGCAGUGGGGAAUAUUGGACAAUGGGGGGAACCCUGAUCCAGCCAUGCCGCGUGUGUGAAGAAGGCCUUAUGGUUGUAAAGCACUUUAAGCGAGGAGGAGGCUCUUUUGGUUAAUACCCAAGAUGAGUGGACGUUACUCGCAGAAUAAGCACCGGCUAACUCUGUGCCAGCAGCCGCGGUAAUACAGAGGGUGCAAGCGUUAAUCGGAUUUACUGGGCGUAAAGCGCGCGUAGGCGGCCAAUUAAGUCAAAUGUGAAAUCCCCGAGCUUAACUUGGGAAUUGCAUUCGAUACUGGUUGGCUAGAGUGUGGGAGAGGAUGGUAGAAUUCCAGGUGUAGCGGUGAAAUGCGUAGAGAUCUGGAGGAAUACCGAUGGCGAAGGCAGCCAUCUGGCCUAACACUGACGCUGAGGUGCGAAAGCAUGGGGAGCAAACAGGAUUAGAUACCCUGGUAGUCCAUGCCGUAAACGAUGUCUACUAGCCGUUGGGGCCUUUGAGGCUUUAGUGGCGCAGCUAACGCGAUAAGUAGACCGCCUGGGGAGUACGGUCGCAAGACUAAAACUCAAAUGAAUUGACGGGGGCCCGCACAAGCGGUGGAGCAUGUGGUUUAAUUCGAUGCAACGCGAGAACCUUACCUG